GACGAACGCUGGCGGCGUGCUUAACACAUGCAAGUCGGACGAUGAACCGGUUUCGGCCGGGGAUUAGUGGCGAACGGGUGAGUAACACGUGGGCAAUCUGCCCUGCACUCUGGGAUAAGCCCGGGAAACUGGGUCUAAUACCGGAUACGACACUCCGAGGCAUCUUGGGGUGUGGAAAGUUCCGGCGGUGCAGGACGAGCCCGCGGCCUAUCAGCUUGUUGGUGGGGUAAUGGCCUACCAAGGCGACGACGGGUAGCCGGCCUGAGAGGGUGACCGGCCACACUGGGACUGAGACACGGCCCAGACUCCUACGGGAGGCAGCAGUGGGGAAUAUUGCACAAUGGGCGAAAGCCUGAUGCAGCGACGCCGCGUGAGGGAUGACGGCCUUCGGGUUGUAAACCUCUUUCAGCAGGGAAGAAGCGAAAGUGACGGUACCUGCAGAAGAAGCACCGGCUAACUACGUG
rnacentral:rRNA from 1 species